UACAGAAGUGCGGGAAGCUUCCAGAAACCCUGUGGACUUACACAUUGGAAGAAGCUAAUCUUCUCUAAAGACCAGUGAUGUUGCCAUGAGGACUGCUGUCCUGCGAUGUCUCGGUUUUCCUCGGGGGUGAUGAAAGAGACUUCUACAAUGUCUCUUUUGAUUCAGAUGCCGUGGCAGACUUCACCCAGGUUCCUGUGGGAUUAUUGCCUGUUAUUCCUGAAGUCAGUCAGCAACCAGGUCCGAAUGCUCUUCACCUUGAACCAUCCAGCAUGUUAUCAUUCUGGAAGGUACAAUUGUCAUGGUUGACACUGAACGCCACCAUCAAGCUGUUUGUCUCAUAUUUGGGCUGAUCUAUGCCCUUCAUAUUUGGACUGAUCUAUGCCCUUCAUAUUUGGGCUGAUCUAUGCCCUUCAUAUUUGGACUGAUCUAUGCCCUUCAUAUUUGGACUGAUCUAUGCCUUUCAUAUUUGGGCUGAUCUAUGCCCUUCAUAUUUGGACUGAUCUAUGCCUUUCAUAUUUGGGCUGAUCUAUGCCAUUCAUAUUUGGACUGAUCUAUGCCUUUCAUAUUUGGACUGAUCUAUGCCCUCCAUCCUGACAGUCCUAAAAAGCACCUUUGACUUCAUUCAGAGACU